rnacentral:rRNA from 1 species
GACGAACGCUGGCGGCGUGCCUAACACAUGCAAGUCGAACGGAAAGGCCCUGCUUUUGCGGGGUGCUCGAGUGGCGAACGGGUGAGUAACACGUGAGUAACCUGCACUUGACUUUGGGAUAUAUUCAGGAAACUGGGGCUAAUACCGGAUAGGAGCUCCUGCUGCAUGGUGGGGGUAGGAAAGGUUCGGCGGUCGGGGAUGGAUGGGUGGGUCAGCAGUUUGUUGGGGGGGUAGUGGCUUACCAAGGCAUCGACGGGUAGACGGCAUGAGAAGGUGACCGGGCACAUUAAGACUAAGGUACGGCGCAGUCGGGAACGGUAGGCAGCGGUGGAAAGUAUGACACAGUGAGCGGGAGCCAGAUGCGAAGGCGCCGCGUGCGGGAUGACGGCUUACUGGUGAUGAACCGCUUUCGCCGGUGACGAAGCGUGAGUGACGGUAAUGAGUAAAGAAGCACCGGCUAACUACGUG